rnacentral:rRNA from 1 species
UGAGGGAAAGGCGAAAAGAACCCCGGCGAGGGGAGUGAAAAAGAACCUGAAACCGUGUACGUACAAGCAGUGGGAGCCCCACCACCAAAGCAUUCUCUGGUGUUGAAGGCCCUGCAAAGCAGCAUCGCGGUGGCGGAGCGUCGUUUGCGACGCCCAACACACAAAACAAGCGGUGAGUGCUUUGGGGUGGGGUGACUGCGUACCUUUUGUAUAAUGGGUCAGCGACUUAUAUUCUGUAGCAAGGUUAACCGUAUAGGGGAGCCGAAGGGAAACCGAGUCUUAACUGGGCGUUAAGUUGCAGGGUAUAGACCCGAAACCCGGUGAUCUAGCCAUGGGCAGGUUGAAGGUUGGGUAACACUAAC